rnacentral:rRNA from 1 species
AUGAGUCCGUCCACGUCGCCCGAGAGCGGCAUCAGUGCCGGGACCAAGAGGGGCCUGGAGCACACCAGCUCCGGCGUCUUCCCCGCCGCGAGCAGCGACGAGGACGACGGCGGCGGCGAUGGAGCCGGCGGCCGCAAGAAUCUUAGGAUGUCCAAGGACCAGUCCGCCGUCCUCGAGGAGUGCUUCAAGACGCACAGCGCGCUCAACCCUAAGCAGAAUAAGGCGCUAGCGAACCGGCUGGGACUGCGGCCGCAGCAGGUGGAGGUGUGGUUCCAUAACCGCCGCGCUCGGACCAAGCUCAAGCAGACGGCGCUCAAGGCCGCACCGCAGGCACACAACGGCGCCUCGGAGGGGCCGCUCACCACCCUCACCAUGUCCCUCUCCCGCAAGCGCGUCGCGUCCACGUCCUCCGCCUCGGCCUGCACCGUGCCCCGUUUUUCUGCCAAUGCCGGCACCGGCAUGCCAAUGCCAUCCCUCAAAGAAUGGCAAUUCUUCUGUGCGUUCAGAGACACCGGAGCGAUGUAUGGUGGUUCUUCGAGGCUCGCGAAGGUGGUCAAGCCGGCCAGAUAG